rnacentral:rRNA from 1 species
CCUACGGGUGGCAGCAGUGGGGAAUAUUGCACAAUGGGCGCAAGCCUGAUGCAGCCAUGCCGCGUGUGUGAAGAAGGCCUUCGGGUUGUAAAGCACUUUCAGCGGGGAGGAAGGCGUUAAGGUUAAUAACCUUGUCGAUUGACGUUACCCGCAGAAGAGGCACCGGCUAACUCCGUGCCAGCAGCCGCGGUAAUACGGAGGGUGCAAGCGUUAAUCGGAAUUACUGGGCGUAAAGCGCACGCAGGCGGUCUGUCAAGUCGGAUGUGAAAUCCCCGGGCUCAACCUGGGAACUGCAUUCGAAACUGGCAGGCUAGAGUCUUGUAGAGGGGGGUAGAAUUCCAGGUGUAGCGGUGAAAUGCGUAGAGAUCUGGAGGAAUACCGGCGGCGAAGGCGGCCCCCUGGACAAAGACUGACGCUCAGGUGCGAAAGCGUGGGGAGCAAACAGGAUUAGAUACCCUAGUAGUC